AUGUCAGCCGUGUGGAACUAUUUCAAAGUGAAUGAAGACGACAAAACAAAGGCGGACUGCAAAUUGUGCUCAGCGAAAUUGUCCAGAGGAGGCUCAAAAGGUAGCGCAUUUAACACAAGUAAUUUAAUCAAGCACCUAAAAUCCCAACAUGACAAUGAGUACAAAGAGUUUACCCACGCUUCUAAACCAACACAACCCACGCUGCAGCAAACUCUUGCAAGACGAGAGAAAAUGUCCAGAGACAAUCCACGUGCUGUGAAAAUAACACAGGCAAUUAUCGAGUACAUUGCAUUGAGUGACCAGCCACUCUCGGAGGGAGAUCCACUGUACUUCAUCUCCACCAUACUUGACCCAAGGUAUAAAGAUCGCUUCUUCUCCAACAACACUGCUCCAGAGGCCAAGCUGCACCUGAAGCAGGAGCUGCAGAUGAUGUCCAGAGCUGAGGCAGAGGAGAGUCGGGCAGAAGCUGCAGAACCUCCUGCUAAACUGUUCCUCAAGGCCCAGGCCAGCACUAGCAGCAGUCUGGACACUGUAUUUGAAGAAAUCGUUAAGUGAGUCGUCUCAGACUUGAUGUUAAUACUACCUCAGUUGCACUAUCUGCCGCAGUUCUAUGUUGGUGGAUGUUGUUAGUUUAUUCAAAUAUUGUGCACUAAAUAGCAAAGAUGUUUAUUAAUCCCCCUUGUGUUGUCCAAAGCGGCAGAGUUUACAACAAACUGAAAAAAAUACUUGAGUUGCACUGUCACUGUUUAAUUUUUUUUUAUAAUUAUUUAUUCUGUAAUAUUUUGCAUACAACAUGCUUUUCAUUUUAAAUAAAUGUUCUUAAUUCCAAACUAGUCACUUGUUUUUUUGUUAAAUUUAUAUGACUAAAGCUGUUACCUGUAAAUUGAAAUCAUUGUUUUUUUUAUUAAGUACUCGGUAUCGGUAUCGGCGAGUACUGAAAUGCAAGUACUCGUACUCGUACUCGUACUCCAAAAAAGUGGUAUCGGUGCAUAUACUUGAGUUGCACUGUCACUGUUUAAUUUUUUUUUAAUAAUUAUUUAUUCUGUAAUAUUUUGCAUACAACAUGCUUUUCAUUUUAAAUAAAUGUUCUUAAUUCCAAACUAGUCCCUUGUUUUUUUGUUAAAUUUAUAUGACUAAAGCUGUUACCUGUAAAUUGAAAUCAUGUUUUUUUAUUAAGUACUCGGUAUCGGUAUCGGCGAGUACUGAAAUGCAAGUACUCGUACUCGUACUCGUACUCCAAAAAAGUGGUAUCGGUGCAUCCCUAGUAUGAAUGUAUAUAUAGUGUUGUGUGUUCCACAGUUAUUGUCAAGUGUUCAUGAGAUGGAUUGCCUGGAAGGGAGGGUUGUACCAAUGAUUCGCUCAGUCUGGACUACAUUCUGUAGUCUUCUGAGGUCAGAUUUGGCAGCUGAGCUGAACCAGACAGUUACUGAAGUGCAGAGGAUGGAUUCAGUGAAGGUGGAGUAGAACUGUUUCAGCAGCUCCUGUGGCAGGUUGAACUUCCUCAGCUGGUGAAGGAAGUACAAAUUCUGCUGGGCGUUUUUCACAAUGGAGUCAAUGUGAAUGUCCCACUUUAGGUCCUGAGAGAUUGUGGUGCCCAGGAAUCUGAAUGACUAAACUGCAUUCACAGUGCUGUCCAUGAUGGUGAGUGAGGGGAGUGCAGGGGGGUUUCUCCUGAAGUCCACUAUCAUCUCAACUGUUUGAGUGUGUUGAGCUCAAGGUUGUCAAGAUUGCACCAGACAGCCAGCUCUUUAACCUCCUGUCUGUAAGCAGUCUCAUCACCGUCCUGAAUGAGGCCGAUGAGUGUGAUGUCAUCUGCAAACUUCAGGAGCUUGACAGUAGGGGUCUUUAGAUGUGCAGUCAUUGGUGUACAGGGAGAAGAGCAGUGGGGAGAGAAUGCAGCCCUGAGGAGCUCCAGUGCUGUGUGCAGUCAUUGGUGUACAGGGAGAAGAGCAGUGGGGAGAGAAUGCAGCCCUGAGGAGCUCCAGUGCUGAUUAUACGGGUGCUGGAUGUGUAUUUCCCAGCCUCACUAGCUGCUGCCUGUCUGUCAGGAAGCUGGUGAUCCACUGACAGAUGGAGGUGGGCACAGAGAGCUGAGUUAGUUUGGGCAGGAGGAUGUUUGGAAUGAUAGUGUUAAAGGCCGGGCUGAAGUCAACAAACAUGAUGCUCACAUAAGUCCCUGGUCUGUCUAGAUGUUGCAGAACAUAAUGCAGUCCAAUGUUGACUGCAUCAUCCACAGACCUGUUUGCUCUGUAGGCAAACUGAAGAGCAAGGGUCCAGUAAUGUCCUUCAGUUGGCCCAGCACCAGUUUUUCAAAUGACUUCAUGACCACAGACGUUAGAGCCACAGGCCUGUAGUCAUUUAGUCCUGUAAUUUUGGAUUUCUUUGGGAUGGGGAUGAUGGUGGAGCGUUUGAAGCAUGAAGGGACUUGGCACAGCUCCAGUGAUCUGUUGAAGAUCUGUGUGUAGAUGGGGGCCAGCUGGUCAGCACAGGAUUUCAGAGAGACUGGUGUAACACAAUCUGGGCCUGGUGCUUUUUUCCUUUUCUGCUUCUGGAAGACCUGGCACACCUCAUCUUCCCUGAUCUGAAUUGCAGGUGUGGGGGAGAGGGGGGUUGCAGGAGGAGUGAAUGGUGUGAGCAAUUGUUUGGAGAGGUGUUCAGGGCGGGUGUUGGGUGUUUUUUUUUGGACCUGCAGUAGAAUGUCAUGUCUUCACAGAAACUGAUAUAAGAUGUUACAGUCUCUGUGAGCUCGUCCAGAUCAGUGGCAGCAGCUUCAAAAACACUCCAAUUAGUAAGGACAUAAUUACUGGUUUUGAAGACUUAUACUGUAUUUUUACACGCUGAUCUGAAUUGCAGGUGUGGGGGAGAGGGGGGUUGCAGGAGGAGUGAAUGGUGUGAGCAAUUGUUUGGAGAGGUGUUCAGGGCGGGUGUUGGGUGUUUUUUUUUUGGACCUGCAGUAGAAUGUCAUGUCUUCACAGAAACUGAUAUAAGAUGUUACAGUCUCUGUGAGCUCGUCCAGAUCAGUGGCAGCAGCUUCAAAAACACUCCAAUUAGUGAGGACAUAAUUACUGGUUUUGAAGACUUAUACUGUAUUUUUACACGCUGUGUUGCGUAUCGCGCUGCAUAAACCAUAAAACCAUGUCUGCAUUUGUGAUCUGAGAAAUGACAAACAAGCGCUACUCUAUACUGCUCAAAACUUGUGUUUGAAUCAUCAGUGGCAAAUUCUUUAAAUAUGAAAACAUACUUACACAUUGUGAGUCAGAAGCGCCAGACUGUCCUUGCAAAGUUGGAAUUGCCCCACUUUAUAGAAACAGCCUUUGGCACAUUGUAGGCUACUGGUUCAGGAAACAGUCCUCAUCCUCCGUAAAAUGUGCAGCAAACAUCUGAAUAUUUGGAUUUAACUGUUCUGGAACAGUGUUGUAAAUACAACUUAAUUAACUACUGAUUUCUAGUUGUGUCCUCUUUUUGGAAGGCCAAACAAAGUAGUUUCACUUCCACAACGAAACACACAGCGACUCCACAACAUGGCGGCGGCAGCAAGAGCGAGAAUAAAAGUUACAACUUCUGUCUUUGCAUGAACAUUUGGGCGAUGAUAUGCAAAUCUUCCCAAAUCAUGAUGUAGACAUGUGGCGGCGUGUUAGAACGACCCAUUUUAGGAGGGUGUGGUUGACUCUUAAAUUUAUAAAGAAUAUCUCUUUGGAUUUGAGACUUUAGUCUUUACAACUUUACAGAUCUUUUUCAUGCACCAAGAGCUUGUAAAACUCCAAAGAGAAAGGAAAAUUUUAAAUCGCACAAUAUGACCCCUUUAAGAUAAGUGUUAUUUUUUUAUAUUUUUAAUUACUACUACUUGUUUCUCAAAUGAUGAUGUUCAGGCUCAGUCCUUUGGGCAGAGGAGCAGUACUUUCCUCAGUCAUACAAUGCCACAUGGGAUGAGGGCAGACUCCACUGUCAGUCCUGUUUCAAAGAACUGACGACCAUCACCAGCAGAAAUGUCCACCUCAUUGUCCAGAACCUCUCUUUGGACUACUGGGUUGGACUCCGCAAGAGUUACAAUGGCUCCUUCCCAUGGGCCGCAUGGUCUAAUGGGGAUCCUGUUACAUAUCAGAAUUGGUACCCUGGUCAUCCUGUUCCAAAUAGAGAAAAGAAACUGAUUCCUAUAUGUUCCUCAACUACACAAAGUCCACUGAGCACCCUAAUAACUACCCCAACAUCAACCCCAACAUCUACCCCAACAUCUACCCUAGUGACCUCAACACAAACCUCCACAGUCACUCCUGCUUCAGUAACCUCAACAUUUCAAACGAACAAAGAAAAUGAUA
rnacentral:lncRNA from 1 species